rfam:Zea mays cultivar B73 chromosome 8, whole genome shotgun sequence.
UAGUGAAGGUCCCAGCAGAGGCUUGAUUUUAAAGUAUGAGAGCUCUCUAACACUACAACCUUCACAUAUGGAUUGUGCCAUGUCGUACAAUGCUUGAAUGUUGCUUGAUAUUUCACAGCAUUUUAUACCAUGGCCACAAAUGC